rnacentral:rRNA from 1 species
GGAGGAAUAAGGAGAGGGCAAGUCUGGUGUCAGCCGCCGCGGUAAUACCAGCUCUCCGAGUGGUAGGGAUGAUUAUUGGGCUUAAAGCGUCCGUAGCCGGCCGGGCAAGUCUCCCGUUAAAUCCAGCGAUCUAAUCGUUGGACUGCGGGAGAUACUGUUGGGCUAGGAGGCGGGAGAGGCCGACGGUAUUCCCGGGGUAGGGGUGAAAUCCUAUAAUCCCGGGAAGACCACCAGUGGCGAAGGCUGUCGGCUAGAACGCGCUCGACGGUGAGGGACGAAAGCUGGGGGAGCGAACAGGAUUAGAUACC